GUCAAGCCUGAUGGCAGCAGGGAAGAAGGCCUGGCUAGAUAACAGGUCAAGCCUGAUGGCAGCAGGGAAGAAGAAGGCCUGGCUAGAUAACAGGUCAAGCCUGAUGGCAGCAGGGAAGAAGGCCUGGCUAGAUAACAGGUCAAGCCUGAAGGCAGCAGGGAAGAAGGCCUGGCUAGAUAACAGGUCAAGCCUGAAGGCAGCAGGGAAGAAGAAGGCCUGGCUAGAUAACAGGUCAAGCCUGAUGGCAGCAGGGAAGAAGGCCUGGCUAGAUAACAGGUCAAGCCUGAUGGCAGCAGGGAAGAAGAAGGCCUGGCUAGAUAACAGGUCAAGCCUGAUGGCAGCAGGGAAGAAGGCCUGGCUAGAUAACAGGUCAAGCCUGAAGGCAGCAGGGAAGAAGGCCUGGCUAGAUAACAGGUCAAGCCUGAAGGCAGCAGGGAAGAAGAAGGCCUGGCUAGAUAACAGGUCAAGCCUGAUGGCAGCAGGGAAGAAGAAGGCCUGGCUAGAUAACAGGUCAAGCCUGAAGGCAGCAGGGAAGAAGGCCUGGCUAGAUAACAGGUCAAGCCUGAUGGCAGCAGGGAAGAAGGCCUGGCUAGAUAACAGGUCAAGCCCGAAGGCAGCAGGGAAGAAGACCUGGCUAGAUAACAG
rnacentral:lncRNA from 1 species